rnacentral:piRNA from 1 species
UAGAGAUUGCCCAGCUGAACACUGGA